rnacentral:ncRNA from 1 species
GUGAGAAGGGUUCCACGUGAACAGUAGUUGAAUGUGGGUCAGUCGAUCCUAAGAUACUGGCUUAUGCCUUGUAUCAUUGAGAGGGAAAAGUUUCUUUUCUCUCGGAUAUCAAAAGGGAAUAGGGUUAAUAUUCCCUAACGCAGACACAGAGAUUGUGACUCAUUGAGUCACUUGCGCGGUAACGCAUUCGAACUUGGUUACGUCGCUCAGAGACCGAGCUAGAGUUCUCUUCUCUAGUUAAGGAACGGACUCCCUGGAAUCGGUUCAGCCGUAGAUAGGGACGUUGUUUCCGUAAAGCAUCGCGGUUUCUGUGAUGUCUCGUGUUCUCUGGACGGCCCUUGAAAAACCAAGGAAGGCUAUUAAUCUGUGCUGCAUCGUACCGAUAUCCGCAUCAGGUCUCCAAGGUGAACAGCCUCUAGUCGAUAGAAUAAUGUAGGUAAGGGAAGUCGGCAAAUUAGAUCCGUAACUUCGGGAAAAGGAUUGGCUCCAGUGACUGGGUCGGUUGGCCUGUUAACUGAUGCUUGUGCGGUUUCGUCCGUGGCUGGCUGAUGCUUACGCUGAUGCUGGACUAGUGACAAGACUGCCUUGUGGACGUUUUCAGGUGUGUGCUUUGUCUUCGGGCUUAGUAUCCUGACCGACCAUCAAAACAGUCGAACUGGAACUGGUACGGACUCGGGGAAUCCGACUGUCUAAUUAAAACAGAGGAGACAGAUGGUCCUUGCGGACGUUUACUGUCUCUGAUUUCUGCCCAGUGCUCUGAG